CAAGAGUUGCAAAACUCCCAAACCCACUGUGAACCUACCUGUUUUGUUGCUUCGGCGGGCAGCCCCAGGGCGGGGCCGCGCCUGGGAAUGUCCCGGGUGUCCGCCGAAGGUUUCUAAAACUCGUACAUUUUAGUUGUCUUCUGAGCUUUGCACAAGCAAAAUAAGUCA
rnacentral:misc_RNA from 1 species